rnacentral:rRNA from 1 species
AAUGAACGAAAGUUUGACACAGCGACACCGCGUGUGGGAUGACGGAUCUAGGUUUGUAAACCACUUUCAGGAGGGAAGAAAAUGACGGUACCUCCACAAGAAGCCCCGGCCAACUACGUGCCAGCAGCCGCGGUAAUACGUAGGGGGCGAGCGUUGUCCGGAUUUAUUGGGCGUAAAGAGCUCGUAGGCGGUUCAACAAGUCGGUCGUGAAAGUUCAGGGCUCAACCCUGAAAUGCGAGCGAUACUGUUGGACUAGGAUACGGCAGAGGUGAGUGGAAUUCCGAGUGUAGCGGUGAAAUGCGUAGAUAUUCGGAGGAACACCAAUUGCGAAGGCAGCUCACUGGGCCGCUAUCGACGCUGAGGAGCGAAAGCUAGGGGAGCAAACAGGAUU